rnacentral:rRNA from 1 species
CAAGUCGAGCGAGGAGAUUCCUUCGGGAUGAUCCUAGCGGCGGACGGGUGAGUAACACGUGGGCAACCUGCCUCAUAGAGAGGAAUAGCCUUCCGAAAGGGAGAUUAAUACCUCAUAACAUUGCAGUUUCGCAUGGAACAGCAAUUAAAGGAGUAAUCCGCUAUGAGAUGGGCCCGCGGCGCAUUAGCUAGUUGGUGAGGUAAUGGCUCACCAAGGCGACGAUGCGUAGCCGACCUGAGAGGGUGAUCGGCCACAUUGGGACUGAGACACGGCCCAGACUCCUACGGGAGGCAGCAGUGGGGAAUAUUGCACAAUGGGGGAAACCCUGAUGCAAGCAACGCCGCGUGAGUGAUGACGGCCUUCGGGUUGUAAAGCUCUGUCUUCAGGGACGAUAAUGACGGUACCUGAGGAGGAAGCCACGGCUAACUACGUGCCAGCCGCUGC